ensembl:lncRNA
CAGACACUUUGGGCAUCAAACCCAUUUUUAUUUGAAUUUAAUGCAGUUUAAUCGAACACAGUGCACAUGCAAAGUAUCAUAUUUAAAUAUCCUGUAUGUUUGUACCAAGUGUCAUGUUUUGAAAGUUAAAUAUUUUAACAUUUAGGUAAUAAAUUAACAAAAUCGAAACAUUACUAAAAACACUGCCCACAAUGAGUAUACACAUUUUAAUAAAGCAUAAAAUACAUGAUAAAUUCAUAAAUAUGCAAUGUUCAUACCUGUACCUUUUUCUGAAAAUAUUUUCUUAAAAACACAAAUUCAGUUUAAGACACCAAAAAGGGAAGAAAAAAAAUCACAACUGGACAAAUUUCUUUAUGUCUUUACCAUAAGAAAAAGAGUACUUUGCUCACUUAAAGGUAGUAUGUGUAGGAUUUUCACUGCCUAAUAGAAUAACAUGUGCUACAACAUACAGUCACUGAGCUCCUUCACUGCCUCUGUUGCUUCCGAAUAUUCAGCUACCAGUCUGCUAAUUAAGAAGCAAAAGUGACUUAGUCUUGGACUUAAUACAAAAUCAUCAACAGUACUACACCUUCUUCAAUAACUCAAUACUACACAUAGCACCUUUAAAUGUAUUUUCUGCUGUUCAGAUCAUCAAAAAAUACAGUAAGAGACUGUCAAACAGUGCACGAACCCUUAACAAAAGAAAACAAAAAAACAAUCACAGUUGAAGAAGCAAUUACAGCAUAGCCAUGGGGGCAGGGUACAGCUAUAAAAGUACUGAUGAAUGAAGUGUUUUGUGACAGGGAACCACUGGGUUCCCACGUUACUGAUCUGUUUUUGAGAAUUUCAACACCUUAGGGUCAAGCAAACGGACACAAAACACCUUUGUUGUGUGCCUGAGUGAUGGAGGUAGAAAUGCUGGGCAAAUGGUUGAAAAUCCAGCAUAGGCAAGAAUGAAAUACUCAGUCAUUUGCUUACCAUAAAUAUGAGUUUUCCUGUAUAUUAAAUACAAGUAGCAUAUGGCUUACCUGUAGCACAGUCUGCAAGCUCACUCUAAACUGUCAAAAAUGUGUUUAGAUUUGUCGCAGAGGGGCAGGUUAGGCUUGUUGCACUGGUAGACCUAAAGGGACAGUUAACGGACGAAACGUGCUUAUUUGCUUUUUUGACACUGUGGCGCCGACACAAUGAAGUUGAGCUGCAGCCAGCAGUUAUCAGCAAGCCAAAGCUAACUGAGUGUCUA